rnacentral:misc_RNA from 1 species
GGAUUCGAACCGACGAUCCCACUGACUCAGCCAGUUGCCUACGCACUGUGCUGAGUUCGCCUUUGUAAAAGCAAUUAAUACCUUUGAAAUAUUUUAUGUAUGAAUACAACCCUGUGUAAGUUGGACAUGACGAAGAAGGGAAAAAACCGCAGCUAACUUUAAGGAGAAUCCUGUUUAAAAGAGAAAAGAAAGGAAUAAAGUUGGUUUUUGGUAAUCAAAAAUUUAGAGCGUAAUUUAUUUGAGCCAUCCUAUUGUUUUCAACCGCAGAAGUGGGAUUGUAAACCCGAAUAAACAUUAAGUUGAUGAAUUUUUAAACUAUAUAGUCCAGUUGAAAUACUAUGGCCGAAAAUCUUGGUAAUAAAGAGGACCUCGUGGAAACGUUGACUAAAGCGGGAGUGAAAUUCCCCGAAUCGACAACUAUUUCCCAACUACGUGCACUUUGCGCUCGAGUGGUCGGCGCCCAGAAUGAUCCUGGGUUGGUUUCUUGUGGAAAAAACACUGAUGCAAAUUUUUCUACUGCUGAUGCAAACUUUUCGACUACAUGCGCUUUUGUUCCUACGAUGACUUCUGCAAAGGAUGUAACUUCGGUCACUUAUGUUGAAGAAUCUUCUGUUCCAUCAAUAAUUUCCGUAAUCAAUCAAACUUCCGAUGAUAAUUAUGAAGAAACUGCUGUUCCAAUGAGGGAUGAAACUCCUUCGGUAAUUUGUGCUUCGGUGGGAAACUCUCCGAUAGUCCCAAGCACGGGAAUCAAUACAACUGCUGUUACGUUUGCGUCAUCUAUUGCUCCAAUUUCUUAUGUAUCGGAAAACAAGGCCAGUAGUGUUGCAGGAAAUACGUCGAAUAUGGUUCCCUUGGAUGCUAAGAUUGUUCGCUUAAGAAAACAACGUGAAAUUUUGCUUUUGAAGCAAGAGAUUCAGCAAUUGCAGGGAAGCGCUCAACAAAAUACGCCAUUGGAUGUCGUAUCAAUUGAUGCUAUGGCAACGAAGUGGACGGGUGACGAUGCACAUGAUAUUAAAAAAUGGUUUACCGAUCUGGAAGAGAUUUUCGAAAUGUUGCAGAUAAAUAAACGUUAUAAGUUUUUAUGUGUUCGCCGCCUUUUGGAUGGAUCAGCUAAACUGUUUGCUAGAACGGUAUCCGCUGCUGAUUAUGACGGUCUCAAGGAAGCCCUAAUAUAGCAAUUCGGGCAUUCGAAUUCCUUGUGGGAAGUAUAUGAGGAGUUAAAAAAUCGUAAACCGAAAAGCAAUGAAAGCAUUUAAAGGUACUUGUUGGAAAUGCAACUGAUUUGGUGGAUGCAGUUUUUGUUAACAUUGGCGAUAGAUCUGGUUUGGCUACCGUGUUAUACCAGGCAAAGACGGUUCGUGAAUUGAAGCUUCAGUUGGAGAGGUAUGAGAAGUUGCGUCCGAUACUGAGACAGUUAAGCCAAACAAAUCGCGCGUUGGUUUAAUGACUACUACGGAUGGAGCUACGGCAGCUCCAGUUAAUGAUACAAUUCGCUGCUACAACUGUUCGCAAUUUGGACACUAUCAGACACAGUGCCCGAAACCAAAACGUCCUGUGGGUUCCUGUUUUAAGUGUGGAACGAUGGGCCACUUGCAUCAAGCUUGUCCAAAACGAGGAUUGGUUGCUGCCGUUGAAGAUCCCCCGAAGGGGUCGGUCCGAAUGAUGUACAUAGGAGAUGAGGAGGGUAUGGUCGAAGCAAUUCAUGAGCUGCAAAUGUCCGAGGAGUUUCAUUAAGAAGUCAUGUGUUCCAUAUUUGAUGAGUGGACGUUUGAAAUUAUCAAACUAUGUUGGG